rnacentral:rRNA from 1 species
GGAUCCAGACUUUGAUUAUGGCUCAGGACGAACGCUGGCGGCGUGCUUAACACAUGCGAGUCGAACGGUGAAGAGGAGCUUGCUUCUUGGAUCAGUGGCGAACGGGUGAGUAACACGUGAGUAACCUGCCCUUGACUCUGGGAUAACUGCUAGAAAUGGUAGCUAAUACCGGAUACGACCCUCGGCCGCAUGGUCAGGGGGUGGAAAGAAUUUUGGUCAAGGAUGGACUCGCGGCCUAUCAGGUAGUUGGUGAGGUAAUGGCUCACCAAGCCUACGACGGGUAGCCGGCCUGAGAGGGUGACCGGCCACACUGGGACUGAGACACGGCCCAGACUCCUACGGGAGGCAGCAGUGGGGAAUAUUGCACAAUGGGCGAAAGCCUGAUGCAGCAACGCCGCGUGAGGGACGACGGCCUUCGGGUUGUAAACCUCUUUUAGUAGGGAAGAAGCGAAAGUGACGGUACCUGCAGAAAAAGCACCGGCUAACUACGUGCCAGCAGCCGCGGUAAUACGUAGGGUGCAAGCGUUGUCCGGAAUUAUUGGGCGUAAAGAGCUCGUAGGCGGUUUGUCGCGUCUGCUGUGAAAUCCGGAGGCUCAACCUCCGGCCUGCAGUGGGUACGGGCAGACUAGAGUGCGGUAGGGGAGAUUGGAAUUCCUGGUGUAGCGGUGGAAUGCGCAGAUAUCAGGAGGAACACCAAUGGCGAAGGCAGAUCUCUGGGCCGUAACUGACGCUGAGGAGCGAAAGCAUGGGGAGCGAACAGGAUUAGAUACCCUGGUAGUCCAUGCCGUAAACGUUGGGAACUAGAUGUGGGGGCCAUUCCACGGUCUCCGUGUCGCAGCUAACGCAUUAAGUUCCCCGCCUGGGGAGUACGGCCGCAAGGCUAAAACUCAAAGGAAUUGACGGGGGCCCGCACAAGCGGCGGAGCAUGCGGAUUAAUUCGAUGCAACGCGAAGAACCUUACCAAGGCUUGACAUAUAGAGGUAACGUGCAGAAAUGUACGCCCCGCAAGGUCUCUAUACAGGUGGUGCAUGGUUGUCGUCAGCUCGUGUCGUGAGAUGUUGGGUUAAGUCCCGCAACGAGCGCAACCC